rfam:Larimichthys crocea isolate SSNF unplaced genomic scaffold scaffold3808, whole genome shotgun sequence.
GCUUACGGCCAUACCACCCUGAAUGUGCCCUAUCUCGUCUGAUCUCGGAAGCUAAGCAGGGUAAGGCCAGGUAAGUACUUCAAUGGGACACCGCCUGGGAAUACCAGGUGCUGUAAGUU